rnacentral:rRNA from 1 species
GCAGCCGCGGUAAUACGUAGGGAGCGAGCGUUGUCCGGAUUUACUGGGUGUAAAGGGCGUGUAGGCGGAGCUGCAAGUCAGAAGUGAAAUCCCCGGGCUCAACCCGGGAACUGCUUUUGAAACUGUAGUUCUUGAGUGCUGGAGAGGCAAUCGGAAUUCCGUGUGUAGCGGUGAAAUGCGUAGAUAUACGGAGGAACACCAGUGGCGAAGGCGGAUUGCUGGACAGUAACUGACGCUGAGGCGCGAAAGCGUGGGGAGCAAA